rnacentral:rRNA from 1 species
UACGUAGGGUGCAAGCGUUAAUCGGAAUUACUGGGCGUAAAGCGUGCGCAGGCGGCUAUGCAAGACAGAUGUGAAAUCCCCGGGCUUAACUUGGGAACUGCAUUUGGGACUGCAAGGCUGGAGUACGGCAGAGGGAGGUGGAAUUCCACGUGUAGCAGUGAAAUGCGUAGAGAUGUGGAGGAACACCGAUGGCGAAGGCAGCCUCCAUGGGCUACGUACGU